rnacentral:rRNA from 1 species
GAUGAACGCUGGCGGCGUGCCUAAUACAUGCAAGUCGAGCGAACAGACGAUGAGCUUGCUCCUCUGACGUUAGCGGCGGACGGGUGAGUAACACGUGGAUAACCUACCUAUAAGACUGGGAUAACUUCGGGAAACCGGAGCUAAUACCGGAUAAUAUAUUGAACCGCAUGGUUCAAUAGUGAAAGACGGUUUUGCUGUCACUUAUAGAUGGAUCCGCGCCGCAUUAGCUAGUUGGUAAGGUAACGGCUUACCAAGGCAACGAUGCGUAGCCGACCUGAGAGGGUGAUCGGCCACACUGGAACUGAGACACGGUCCAGACUCCUACGGGAGGCAGCAGUAGGGAAUCUUCCGCAAUGGGCGAAAGCCUGACGGAGCAACGCCGCGUGAGUGAUGAAGGUCUUCGGAUCGUAAAACUCUGUUAUUAGGGAAGAAAAAAUGUGUAAGUAACUAUGCACGUCUUGACGGUACCUAAUCAGAAAGCCACAGCUAACUACGUG